GGAUGGUUUGAGUUAUUCCAUCCUCUUUAUGUUAUUUUCUUUGGUUCUGAGUAGUUGUAAUUCUUCAUAUCUAAUUAUUAGCUUGGCUCAGUUUCUGAGCCCAGUUUAUCUAGUGUGAACUGAAUCAACCUUCGCAGUAAGUUUCAAAUAGACUUUGUAAUUUCGUCGACCACAAAUCCGAGGUAAGUAUUUUAAAGAUAUUUUGUGCAUGAUCAUGUUGCCAUGCACACACAUGCAAUGUGAAUCUAUCUGUGUGUGGCUUGCACAUAUAUGCAAUUGUUUUAAAGAUAUUUGGUGCACGAUCAUGUUGUCAAGCCAUCAACUUGUUCCUGACAUUUUGCUUGCUUGAAGAAUAAAACAACCUAAUUUUUGAGACAGAUCAUCUACAUGGCCAGAUCCAUUUAAUGAAUUUCUUGGAUAUUUCUCCAAAUCCAUUUAAUGGAUGUCUUGGAUGUUUCUCUAGCUCUAAUAAAAUGGCAAGGAAUUAAUGAUUAUCGAUCCAAAGUGGAAAUGAUUAGUGGAUUACAUCAAGUGGAUCAAUGUAUUUUUCUCCCGUGGUGUCUUUUCCAGAGUGAACCUAUCAACCUAAGUUCUUGACAACAAGCUUGGUCUUAAUAAUCUCUGUUAUCACAAAAAUUAGAGCAAAAUUGUUGUAUUCGGGCAAUUGAGACUGUUUUGAACACAUGGAACAUGAAAUCUUGUUACAUCAGUUCUCAUUAUAUUCUCUGACAGAUAUUGCUUUUUAGACUCAUUAGAUCAUUGCAUGGAAACUUUUUUGUUGAGUUUUAUUUGUAUAAUUGAAGUAUCUUGAGUGGGCAUAUCUUAAAUGGCACUGCCAAUGGCAAGGUCAUAGGAAGGGCAUUUUGUAUCGGAAUUUUGGCAGGAUGCUGUAAGGAGUAAAUGCUUGGUCUCAACAUAGGAAGGGCAUUUUGUAUCAGAAUUUGGUCUCAACAUGGAAGAAAGGGUUGCAAUCUUCAUCAUUUCUAAAUAAGCCCCGGUCACCUUUUCAAGAAUGGAAAAUUGAUUUCUCAGAACUAUCCAUUGGCACUCGUGUUGAGAUUGGGUUCUUUGGGGAAGCUUUUCGUGGCGUAUGGAAUGGGACAGAUGUUGCUGUCAAAAUAUUUCUGGAGCAAGAGUUGACAGCUGAGAAUAUGGAGGAUUUCUGCAAUGAAAUAUUUAUUCCAAGUGGGAAUCAUGAGCGUGACUGGCCAGGGUCAGGAUCAUUCUAUGAAAAUACGGAUUCUGGUGGGGAAUAUGGCGUGCUGGCUGAGACAAUGUUCUAUGAAUUCCAGCUGACAACAGAGCCAAGUUUUGGUAUUCUACAGACUAUGGUUUGUUCCAUUUAUGCAUAGCGGACAGUGAACAUGAUUGGAGAGAGGGUUCGGAACAGUACAGAUUCAUCGAGCAUUGCCUUUCGUCAGCGGAUAGGCAGAAACAACCAUGGUUGAUCUUUGCUGGUCAUCGUGUUCUUGGCUACAGUUCAGGGUACUGGUACGGCCUGAGUGGUGAAUUUGCAGAGCCAAUGGGAAGAGAGAGCCUACAAAACCUUUGGCAGAAGUACAAGGUUGAUAUUGCACUUUAUGGUCAUGUCAACCAAUAUUAAAGGACAUGCCCAGUCUACCAGGUAUGUAUGAAUAGAAAAGGAAUGUGGGUUUUGGUAGGUACUUGUGUGCAUUUAAGAUAUACAUCCUAGCUUUUGAACUCACGGAUUACUCUUAAAAGUGUGAUUCCAUAUGUGGUACAUACCCAUUUCCUAGUUUAACUGCUAUAUAUCAUAUGUUGGAGUCACUAUCGUUAAGUGUGAUCUGAUUACUUAAAAACGCUAGUCUGCAAUAGCUACAAUGGACCUACACAAGUCUGCUAUAUAUCCUGGUUUGCUUAUUUUUUAUUAGAGCGUCUUGACCUUGUGGAUGAAUGAGACAUCAUGUCACAUCCAACAUAUGCAUGUCUUACUUACAGAGGUAGAAAGGUUGUGAGGACCACGACCCCUCAUUUGCAGUAAGCAAUAGUACCAACCUGAAGAAAUAACUAGCCUAGGAGUCACCCAUUUCAGCAGCCUAUGAAGGGCAUGGUCAUUGAGGAUGACUAAGCUAGGCCUCAUUUAUUUGAAUUUGAAAUAGUGGUCUUUAAAUUGUUGAUACCUUGUAGUGUUCUUUAAAUUGCAGAACAUUGCAACCAUGACUACUGUUGACAUGAUGGCUGGCCCAUCAGAAGUUCCGGUCAUUUGCUGACAAACAUACCAGCCUUGUUCAUAUAGCUACAAAUUUACUCUCAUAUGGCCAACUCCAACAAUGCUCUCAUGCAUUCAGAUUGACAGUUCGUUAACUCUUUUUUUUAUUGCUUUCAUUAAUUUGA